GACGAACGCUGGCGGCGUGCUUAACACAUGCAAGUCGAACGGAAAGGCCCCUUUGGGGGUACUCGAGUGGCGAACGGUUGUGUAACACGUGAGUAACCGUCCCUUGAGUGCGGGAUAACUUCAGGAAACUGGGGCUAAUACCGGGUAGGAGUCCUUUCUGCAUGGUUGGGGGUGGAAAGCUGCGGCGGUUUUGGAUGGACUCGCGGCUUAUUAGCUUGUUGGUGGGGUAGUGGCUUACCACGGCUUUGACGGGUAGCCGGCCUGAGAGGGCGAGCGGCCACAUUCGGACUGAGAUACGGACCCGACUCCUACGGGAGGCAGCAGUGGGGAAUAUUGCACAAUGGGCGGAAGCCUGAUGCAGAAACGCCGAGUGCGGGAUGACGGACUUCGGGUUGUAAACCGCUUUCAGCAGGGGCGAAGCUUGUGGUGACGGUACCUGCAGAAGAAGCACCGGCUAACUACGUG
rnacentral:rRNA from 1 species